UAUGCCCAUCAAACAGUUUUCACUUGACAUCGACCUCAUUUCAUGGAUCAGUGAACAAGGUUAAGUUUUGGUGGUCAAGUCCAUAUCUCAGAUACUAUAAGCAAUAGGUCUAGUAUAUUCGGUGUAUGGAAGGACUGUAAGGUGUACAUGUCCAACUGGCAGGUGUCAUCUGACCUUGACCUCAUUUUCAUGGUUCUGUGGUCAAAGUUAAGUUUUUGAGUUUUGGUCUUUUUUUCUAAUACUAUAUGCAAUAGUUCAACUAUAGUUGGUGUAUGGAAAUAUUUUAUGAUCUAUAUGUCAGUCACGCAGGUUUUAUUUGACCUUGACCUCAUUUUCAAGGUUCAUUGCUCAGUGUUAAGUUUUUUGUGUUUUGGUCUGUUUUUCUUAAACUAUAAGCAAUAGGUCAACUAUAUUUGUUGUAUGGAAGAAUUGUUAGCUGUACAUGCCUGCUUAGCAUGGUUUAUCUGACCUUGACCUCAUUUUCAUGGUUCAUUGGUCAAUGUUUAGUUUACUUGGUUAAUGUUAAGUUUAUGUGACAGUUGUAAUAAAGCUUUAUAUUUAGGACCAUCAACAUAAUAUCAAUGAUUAGUAAAGAAGGCGAGACAUUUCAGCGUGUGCACUCUUGUUGUGCUUAAAAAGAAAUCUUUGAGAUAGAAUUUUAAAUAGAUCUAUUAAAUUCAUGUAAUUUAUACCAUGUUUAUAAUAGCAAUUGUUUUGUUUGUCUUGAUGAAUUGUUCAAACGGAAGAGGUAAAUCACAGAAGCCUAUUUUGGUUCUCUUAGCUUACUCAAGUAUUGGAUCACAGAAGUAUUAAAAAGGGGAGUGGUCACAUGUCAAUAAGUGGAGGAGGAAGGAGCCAAACCUUAUAUUAUAUUAAUUUUUAUACGCUCGUUUACUAAACGUAUUAUGGUAUACCGUUGUCCGUCUGUCUGCCCGUCCGUCUGUAUGUCCGUCUGUCCGUCCGUCGUCAACAUGUCUGACAUUAACUCAAAAACGCUUUAACCAAUUUGCAUAAAACUUUGGUGAAUUGUUUAUAUCUAUUUACGUGAGCUCUCUUUUGUUUUUUAUAAAUUUUAAAUUUUAAGUUUCCGAGUUAUGGGGUUUUAUUCAUUAAAAAAAGGGGGAUUUUCCAGUUUUCGGACAAUAACUCAAGAAUGCUUUCACCAACUUGCAAGAGAUUUUGAUGAAUUGUUUAUAUCUAUUGACAUGAGCUUCCUUUAAAUUUUUAUAAAUUUUAGAUUUUACGUUUCCGAGUUACAGGGUUUUAUUCAUAAAAAAAGGGGGAUUUUCCAGUUUUCCCACAAAAACUCAAAAAUGCUUUCAGCAGUUCUUAUAAAACUUUGGUGAAUUGUUUAUAUCUAUUUAAGUAAGCUCCCUUUUGAAUUUUAUAAAUUUUACAUUUUACAUUUCUUAGUUAUGGGGUUAUAUUCAUUAAAAAAGUGGGGAUUUUCCAGUAUUCGGACAAUGACUCAAAAAUGCUGUCAGCAAUUCUCAUGAAACUUUGGUGAAUUGUUUAUAUCUAUUGAUGUAAGCUCCCUUUUGAUUUUCAUAAAUUUCUAAUAUGACAUUGAGAAUUAAUUGAACUUUAUUGAUCUUUAUUCUUUGAAAAUGUGACGGGCGUAUCAUGCGUCUAGUUUCCAGACAAGAAUUAACUUGUGUUUAAGUGUAUGGAUCUCUAUGAAAUUGUACUACAAGGUUCCAUACCACAAAGGGAAGGCUGGGAUUGAGUUUGGGGGAAAUUGCCCCAAACGUUUAGAAAUUAGGGGCAAAAAAGAGGCUAAAAACAAGCAUUUUUCUAGUUUCCAGACAAUAACUUGUGUUAAAGUUUAUGGAACUCUCUGAAAUUGUACAUUUUUCCUAAAAAGAAAAUCUUCAAAAUCUAAAAAAAAAAUUGGUGGGGGUUUCAAAAAUGUUUGGGUGGGGGAUUUUUUUUUCAAUUUUUUUUGGGGGGUUCAUAUUGUUUUCUUCAAAAUUUUUGAAAUAUGAAAUUUUUUGACUUUUUUUUAUUGCCCCCCCCCCCCCC